rnacentral:rRNA from 1 species
UACGUAGGGUGCGAGCGUUGUCCGGAAUUACUGGGCGUAAAGAGCUCGUAGGUGGUUUGUCGCGUUGUCCGUGAAAACUCACAACUCAAUUGUGGGCGUGCGGGCGAUACGGGCAGACUGGAGUACUGCAGGGGAGACUGGAAUUCCUGGUGUAGCGGUGGAAUGCGCAGAUAUCAGGAGGAACACCGGUGGCGAAGGCGGGUCUCUGGGCAGUAACUGACGCUGAGGAGCGAAAGUGUGGGGAGCGAACGGG